GUGUCCACAUGGUGGCGCCGUUGAGCUUAAUUUGCUGAUAACACUCUCUCCUUCCCUCUGCUCUUUCUUUCUUUGCUGCCUACAACAGUACAGUACACUCUCGUAGUGGCAGCAACCAGCACAAGCGUGUGCAGUGCCUCCUCGUAGCUUAGGCUCUCAAUAAAACUGGCCAUUUAUCAUCAAUCAUGGCCGCCGGAGUACAGAUUUAACUCUCCGUCUUCUCCUCCCUAUCGACUUUUAACAGGAGUAGGGGGGAUUUCUGUUUGAAGAAGACGAAAGAUUAUUGUUGGCCCCACACGGAUUUGGAUUUCCUCCAGGAAUUACAGUACAUCUCACAAGGGAAAUACCAUUCAUGUCAAAUCUCCAACAUGCAGCCGCCGCCGAGGAAGGUCAAAGUGACACAGGAGCUAAAAAACACUCACACGGAGCAGAUGACAAGGCUGCACUUUAAACAUCAAACCGAAUGUGACCUGCUGGAAGACAUGAGGAGCUACAGUUUGAAGAAAGGACAGCUGGAGAGGGACUAUGCACAGGUAAGACUGGCAGGACUCCUCUUAAAUAGAGAGACCUACCUUAGUAGCUGUUAAGGAAUCGUGUCAGAUCAUGUUUACAACCAUAUUAAUACUAUCGGAAGAUAUUGCUAUUUUGUAGGGGUGCACCGAUUGCAGUUUUCUAGACGACCACCCAUUACCGGUCUUUUCAAAGCCCGAUCUGCUGAUUCCGAUUUUGGCCGAUAAGAUCAGUGGAUGAGGAAGUACAGGCCGAUCACCGAUCUUCCAAAAUUAUGGAAGUUGGAGAGGAUUUAUCGGUGCACACCCACUAUUUUGUAAUAGAUGAUCUGUGGAAUGUGUCACAAAUU